GGAGGGAUAGUUCAAAUGGUAGAGCGCAUACUUAGCAUGCAUGAGGUCCUGGGUUCAAUCCCCAGUAGCUCCA
rnacentral:tRNA from 1 species